UACGGGGGGGGCAAGCGUUGUUCGGAAUUACUGGGGGUAAAGGGCUCGUAGGUGGCCAACUAAGUCAGACGUGAAAUCCCUCGGCUUAACCGGGGAACUGCGUCUGAUACUGGAUGGCUAGAGUUUGGGAGAGGGAUGCGGAAUUCCAGGUGUAGCGGUGAAGUGCGUAGAUAUCUGGAGGAACACCGGUGGCGAAGGCGGCAUCCUGGACCAACACUGACGCUGAGGAGCGAAAGCCAGGGGAGCGAACGGG
rnacentral:rRNA from 1 species